GACGAACGCUGGCGGCGUGCUUAACACAUGCAAGUCGAACGGAAAGGCCCUGCUUUUGUGGGGUGCUCGAGUGGCGAACGGGUGAGUAACACGUGAGUAACCUGCCCUUGACUUUGGGAUAACUUCAGGAAACUGGGGCUAAUACCGGAUAGGAGCUCCUGCUGCAUGGUGUGGGUUGGAAAGUUUCGGCGGGUGGGGAUGGACUCGCGGCUUAUCAGCUCGUUGGUGUGGUAGUUGCUUAGCAAGGCUUUGACGGGUAGCCGGCCUGAGAGGGUGACCGGCCACAUUGGGACUGAGAUACGGGCCAGACUCCUACGGGAGGCAGCAGUGGGAAAUAUUGCACACUGGGCGGAAGCCUGAUGCAGCAACGCCGCGUGCGGGAUGACGGCCUUAGGGUUGUAAACCGCUUUCGCCUGUGACGAAGCGUGAGUGACGGUAAUGGGUAAAGAAGCACCGGCUAACUACGUG
rnacentral:rRNA from 1 species